UACGUAGGGGGGCAAGCGUUGUCCGGAUUUAUUGGGCGUAAAGAGCGUGUAGGCGGCCAGGUAGGUCCGUUGUGAAAACUCGAGGCUCAACCUCGAGACGUCGGCGGAAACCCUCUGGCUAGAGUCCGGAAGAGGAGAGUGGAAUUCCUGGUGUAGCGGUGAAAUGCGCAGAUAUCAGGAAGAACACCCGUGGCGAAGGCGGCUCUCUGGGACGGUACUGACGCUGAGACGCGAAAGCUAGGGGAGCAAACGGG
rnacentral:rRNA from 1 species